rnacentral:rRNA from 1 species
AACGAACGCUGGCGGCAGGCUUAACACAUGCAAGUCGAGCGCCUCGCAAGAGGAGCGGCAGACGGGUGAGUAACGCGUGGGAAACUACCCCGAGGUACGGAACAACUCGGCGAAAGCUGAGCUGAUACCGUAUGUGACCGAGAGGUGAAAGAUUUAUCGCCUCGGGAUGUGCCCGCGUAGGGUUAGCUAGUUGGUGGGGUAAUGGCCCACCAAGGCGACGAUCCUUAGCUGGUCUGAGAGGAUGAUCAGCCACACUGGGACUGAGACACGGCCCAGACUCCUACGGGAGGCAGCAGUGGGGAAUAUUGGACAAUGGGCGCAAGCCUGAUCCAGCCAUGCCGCGUGAGUGAUGAAGGCCUUAGGGUUGUAAAGCUCUUUCACCGAUGAAGAUAAUGACGGUAGUCGGAGAAUAAGCACCGGCUAACUCUGUGCCAGCCGCCGCAGUAAGAC